rnacentral:rRNA from 1 species
CAGUAGCCGCGGGAAUACGUAGGGUGCAAGCGCUAAUCGGAAUUACUGGGCGUAAAGCGUGCGCAGGCGGUUAUAUAAGACAGAUGUGAAAUCCCCGGGCUCAACCUGGGACCUGCAUUUGUGACUGUAUAGCUAGAGUACGGUAGAGGGGGAUGGAAUUCCGCGUGUAGCAGUGAAAUGCGUAGAUAUGCGGAGGAACACCGAUGGCGAAGGCAAUCCCCUGGACCUGUACUGACGCUCAUGCACGAAAGCGUGGGGAGCAAACAGGAUUAGAUACCCCUGUAGUCCCUGUCUCUUAUAC